rnacentral:rRNA from 1 species
UCCUACCCACUUACCACCCUGAACGCGCCCGAUCUCGUCUGAUCUCGGAAGCUAAGCAGGGUCGGGCCUGGUUAGUACUUGGAUGGGGGACACAGGGAUCCCUCUUUUCAGAGAAGGGA